UACGAAGGGGCUAGCGUUGUUCGGAUUUACUAGGGCGUAAAGCGCACGUAGGCGGGUUGUUAAGUCAGGGGUGAAAAUCCUGGAGCUCAACUCCAGAACUGCCUUGAUACUGAAGAUCUUGAGUUCGGGAGAGGUGAGUGGAACUGCGAGUGUAGAGGUGAAAUUCGUAGAUAUUCGUCAAGAACACCAGUGGCGAGGGCGGCUCACUGGCCCGAUACUGACGCUGAGGCACGGAAAGCGAUGGGAGCAAACAGG
rnacentral:rRNA from 1 species